ensembl:ncRNA F44A2.12 ncRNA
UCCACCUCCCCCUACUUCUCCUCCUUUUUUUGAUGAUGAUGAUGACGGUGACCCCAGAAAACAGCCCGAGAGUAGGCAGAUGACACGCCUCCUGCCGUCGACGACGUCUUCAAUCGAAUGGGACGACGACCACUAUAUGCAACAAUAACAAGUCGUUCGGAACAAGAA